UGAGGCAAAGUGGGUGUGAGCGGGCGUCUGCACGCGCCCGGUUUGCAACUCUGCAACAUGCGCCUCCAGCAGAGCGCAUUUGCAUCCUUUGCACCAUUUGCCCCGCAUCUUUUGUCCCGACGCGACGGCGACCGUUCCACGCACCACGGGCCACUCCUGACAGGAACACGGCGCGAACGCGCGUUUCGAGUCGAAUUCGUUAUUCGCGUAAUAAACAUGACGGUAAAAUGCUCCCCGUGUCGGAAGCAACAGACGGAACAAAGGUGGGUGCGCGCGGUGAGCGUGGACGAGCAUGGGCGCUCGAAGCUCCACUCUGCUGAACCGAGGAGCUCCGGCUCAGUCCUCAUCGCAGCGCUGUGCCCCGUCGUGGCACCCACGGUGCCAGUGGGCGCUCGGUGCCAUGUGGCGCCCCGCUGACUCUCACCGUGUCAAGGCCCGUUGUACUCACCUGGCCGUUGGCUUUGGCGGCAGCAGGGUCGGCGGCGGCUUUGCCCUCAACAGCUACCCCACCCUUGGACAACUGGGCUCCCAUUUUACUUCUUCCUUGGGUGUUCUGAACAGAAAAUAAAAUCGAAAAAUAAAAACCUCGAGUAGAUUUUUUUCAGAGUUAAAAAUCCAGAUCUCAGAUCGGUUUUUGCGCCAAAGGUGUGUAAAAUCCGAGCGGAUCUCCUUCUCCCCAGGUGGGUUUUUGGUGACGAGAAGAUCCCGCUUGCGAGAGCGUGGACCCGACGGCGGCAGAGCUCAAA